rnacentral:rRNA from 1 species
GCUAUCUGCAGUCGAGCGGACAGAAGGGAGCUUGCUCCCGGAUGUUAGCGGCGGACGGGUGAGUAACACGUGGGUAACCUGCCUGUAAGACUGGGAUAACUCCGGGAAACCGGAGCUAAUACCGGAUAGUUCCUUGAACCGCAUGGUUCAAGGAUGAAAGACGGUUUCGGCUGUCACUUACAGAUGGACCCGCGGCGCAUUAGCUAGUUGGUGAGGUAACAGCUCACCAAGGCGACGAUGCGUAGCCGACCUGAGAGGGUGAUCGGCCACACUGGGACUGAGACACGGCCCAGACUCCUACGGGAGGCAGCAGUAGGGAAUCUUCCGCAAUGGACGAAAGUCUGACGGAGCAACGCCGCGUGAGUGAUGAAGGUUUUCGGAUCGUAAAGCUCUGUUGUUAGGGAAGAACAAGUGCAAGAGUAACUGCUUGCACCUUGACGGUACCUAACCAGAAAGCCACGGCUAACUACGUGCCAGCAGCCGCGGUAAUACGUAGGUGGCAAGCGUUGUCCGGAAUUAUUGGGCGUAAAGGGCUCGCAGGCGGUUUCUUAAGUCUGAUGUGAAAGCCCCCGGCUCAACCGGGGAGGGUCAUUGGAAACUGGGAAACUUGAGUGCAGAAGAGGAGAGUGGAAUUCCACGUGUAGCGGUGAAAUGCGUAGAGAUGUGGAGGAACACCAGUGGCGAAGGCGACUCUCUGGUCUGUAACUGACGCUGAGGAGCGAAAGCGUGGGGAGCGAACAGGAUUAGAUACCCUGGUAGUCCACGCCGUAAACGAUGAGUGCUAAGUGUUAGGGGGUUUCCGCCCCUUAGUGCUGCAGCUAACGCAUUAAGCACUCCGCCUGGGGAGUACG